AUACGGAGGGGGCUAGCGUUGUUCGGAAUUACUGGGCGUAAAGGGCGCGUAGGCGGACUAUCAAGUCAGGGGUGAAAGGCCUGGGCUCAACCCGGGAACUGCCUUUGAAACUGAAAGUCUAGAGUCCGAGAGAGGAUAGCGGAAUUCCCAGUGUAGAGGUGAAAUUCGUAGAUAUUGGGAAGAACACCAGUGGCGAAGGCGGCUAUCUGGCUCGGUCCUGACGCUGAGGCGCGAAAGCGUGGGGAGCAAACAGGAUUAGAAACCCCAGUAGUCC
rnacentral:rRNA from 1 species